UCACCCCUCAAGCCCCCGGCUUGGUGUUGGACGGUUUGGUCCCGGGACCCCCCUGGACCCCUCCCAAAGACAAUGACGGCGGGCUGUCGCACCCCCGGUACACUGAGCAUCUUCACGGAGCACGUACCGGUCUUCAGGGACGACGGCACCCGGUCUCACACCUAUAUCUUUCAA
rnacentral:misc_RNA from 1 species